rnacentral:snRNA from 1 species
CCCACAUCCCGGGUUGAUAGAAGCACGGAAGUGUAUCUGAUACGUGGAUCAAUAGUUCACAUGAUAUUAAAUUAAUUUUUUAAAGAGGUGAGUCCACAACAAUAGCUUGCUAUUGGGGCUGACAUGUGUCAUCCUUGUGUUGCACUACUGCAAGGUUUGGCACACCCUAC